UACGUAGGGGGCUAGCGUUGUCCGGAUUUAUUGGGCGUAAAGAGCGUGUAGGCGGCCAGGUAGGUCUGCUGUGAAAACUCGAGGCUUAACCUCGAGAUGUCGGCGGAAACCAUCUGGCUAGAGUCCGGAAGAGGAGAGUGGAAUUCCUGGUGUAGCGGUGAAAUGCGCAGAUAUCAGGAGGAACACCGGUGGCGAAGGCGGAUCUCUGGGCCGAUACUGACGCUGAGGAGCGAAAGGCGUGGGGAGCGAACAGG
rnacentral:rRNA from 1 species